CCCAGACUCCUACGGGAGGCAGCAGUGGGGAAUAUUGCACAAUGGGGGAAACCCUGAUGCAGCGACGCCGCGUGAAGGAUGAAGUAUUUCGGUAUGUAAACUUCUAUCAGCAGGGAAGAAAAUGACGGUACCUGACUAAGAAGCCCCGGCUAACUACGUGCCAGCAGCCGCGGUAAUACGUAGGGGGCGAGCGUUAUCCGGAUUCACUGGGUGUAAAGGGAGCGUAGACGGCCAAGCAAGCCAGGGGUGAAAGCCCGGGGCCCAACCCCGGGACUGUCCUUGGAACUGCUUGGCUGGAGUGCGGGAGGGGCAGGCGGAAUUCCUAGUGUAGCGGUGAAAUGCGUAGAUAUUAGGAGGAACACCAGUGGCGAAGGCGGCCUGCUGGACGAUGACUGACGUUGAGGCUCGAAAGCGUGGGGAGCAAACAGGAUUAGAUACCCGUGUAAU
rnacentral:rRNA from 1 species